GCAUCCUUGGAGUGAGGUAGAGAAAGCCUUUAUCCUUUUUUUGCACUCUCCUAAUGGACAUAUCCUGAAACAACUUGAAGAGGUGUAACUUAAAGGAGCACUGAGAGCCUAAGCGGAGAAAAUCAAAGUCCUGCUAAAAUAUCUCAUUGAGCACUCUGAAACAAGAGCACCUGGAUCGGUAUCCCUUCAUCCUGACACCAGCCUUUGCAAGACUGACUUUGGCUCCUUCCAAUGGUACGUCUUUAUGGAGUGCAGCAUCUCUUCAGGGCAGAAUCAGUCAGGGCACAAGAAAAGAGCAUGGGAUAGAUUACCAGAAAACUCAGUGCAACACGGAUACUAGGCAAGUAUCUUCACCAUCAACAGGCCAAGCAUUUUAUUCGUGUUUCAUUUCAUUGCUGUAUUUUCUUUUUGGGAAGCAAUUUCUUAAUCACAGUGAAUGCAUGUUAUGCCUCUCUAGCAUUAACACAGCCCUGAUGGUUGCAGCACUCAAAUAUUUGGCAUCUUCUGUAUCUUUCAGGAAACCUUGGUUUUUGUAUGGAUGCUCCAUUGCAAUGGCAAUUUCUUCCUACUGCUUUUUAUGAGGGUUAGUGGGAAUUGCUCGCAGUGAAGUCGUGUGUGCUGUCAUCAGGACUGCAAUUCAGGUGCUCCACAGAGCAGAUGCAGACCUUUUGUGCCUUAGGGAGCCUGUCUGCCUGCAAGGUUGUUCAGGAUGCAGACUAGGAGUUAAAAGGGUUGUUUGUAGACCCCUGGCUCUGCAGAUAUCCUGGAGAGGUUGAUUUUCACAGUUAUUCCAACUCUGGGACUCUACAGUCAUUGCUGUUGGUCUACAGCUGGAAUAAAAUUCCUUCUUUCCUGCCAGUCUUGAAAGGGAUUUUUUGCUUUAAAAUCUGUUUCUGCAGUCCAGCAUGUAUAGGCAUCCAUGAACAAAGAAUUUGGGUCUGUCUCUGUAUCCUCUGAUGUUACCAGCUAUUUUUUUGAUAGCUGCAAGAUAAAUAGCACUAUGCCACUAAACUAUGAAAUCUACUGUAUUAACAUUGAUCUGAACUCAAGCAUGGGAGAUGAGGAGUGCACUACAGAGAACUGUCUUUGCCUCUCAUUCACAGAAUAUUUUGUCCUGGAUGACCUCUAAGUUUGUUGGUCAAAACACUCUAGACCUCCUUUGGUACAUCACACUGUUCUUCACAGUUCAGACAACUGGGUUUAAUUUUCAACACAUAAUUAUGCUACACUUCUUUGUGCAUUCCCUUUUCAGCUCCCCAAAACUAAAUGUGUUUUGACAGUUACCACCAAGAGAUAAAAAAUAUAAUACUCCUUGUUUCAUUGGAUGCAAUAUUGGAAAGACAAUCAUUCUUUUCCUUCGUAAGUGCUACUAUAAGCUGUUGUACUGACUGUUGAUUUGGAAUAUAUAACUGUGUUUUGCCUGAUCCUGUUAAUCCCUAUGUAUCUCACAAGUUUAGAGGCUCUGGCUAGUGCAUAUAUUCUAACACUGUCAGAUCUGGUCCACAAUGAGUGGCUUGACAGCCUUGGAGCCUACUACAGGUACAGUCCUUUUUAAAACCUGCUUAACCACAAUAGCUGAACCUUCUUUUGUAGCUUUCAUAGAUAGAGAUUUAAUACUUGUGAACUCUUUAAUACUCUUAAUAUACUUGGAUAAUCUUUUAGACAAAACAUACUUUAUUUGUUUCAACUGUUUUUGAAAUAUGGGUUUGAUUUUUUUGUUUUUUCAGAUUUCUACACCUGAUUUUUUUUCAUACCACAAGCUUGAAUAAAAAGUUAAUUUUGUAUCAGCAUCUUCUGGUACCAGUUAGGGUGAAUUUAGCAUGUAUUGGUGAAAAAAUCUUGAUCAUUUUUUAAUCUAAAUUUGAUUUGGGAUGCAGGUAGGUGUUUAGGCCUAUGCAGCUACUGUUCACUCAACAUUCAGGAAGUGCUCCUUUUUAAUAUAUUCCAGUAAUUAGUUUCAUGAGAGAUCUGUAUGUAUUAAUCUGCCACAACACUGGGACCAGCUUAUAUCAUGAGAUAUUUUUUCCCUCUUUCAAGGUCAUUUUGGAACUCUGUCUUGUGCAUCUGAAGUGUAAAGAGCCAGCUCUGCCUGUUUCUGUGUCAGAGCUUUUCUACCUCUAUACAAGGGCACCUUCCUAAAAAGCCUGGAGCUGUUUGCCUGGGGCAAAGGCCGAGGUGCUCACUUAAAAGAUUUAGGAGCCCCGAUUCAUGAUGCCCAUUACACAUGCUGAGGCACAGCCUUACCCAAAGAGUAAAGCUCUCAGGAGGCAACGAACAUCUGGCAAAUCCGCAUCAGGAGAGAGUCUUGUCCCAUCGUUGCUGCCUUGGGUUAGAGGACAACGAAAUGAGCAGGAGAAAGUGUGGAGCAUGGAAAGAGGACCUAUCAGGCUACGGGAGAGAAGAAUUAAAGUAGCCUGUACAACUUUUUGCUCUGGCCUUUUUAAUAUCCACGGUAUCACUCACUACUUCCCCAACAAAUUAUUUAAUAGAUGUAAAAAUAUCUUACGCAGGUGUUUAGCAUAUUGCAGUCUUAAAGAAAUGGAUGUUACUAAGCACAUAGUGCUGUUAGCGAGAAAUGGAAUACUGUUGCAAUUUCCUCAGAAUAUCCUAUGACUUUUCCCUGCAGCCUUGAGAUGUAAGUUAUACCCUCAGCGAAGGACCUUUGAAUGUCCAUAGUAGAUGGGUUGCUUUGUCUUCACUUGGUUAUAUUUUUAUACAGCUGAUAAAGACAACUGUGUUAAAACUUUUACUUCCUGUUUAAAUAUCUUUAAUUUAUGAGUUAGUUAGAUUUCCAGCUAGUUUAAUUUGGUGUAAUCUCAAUGUUAUGUCAAGUAAGCUAUUACAAUCUACUGGCCCUGCAUCUCUAAAUACUACUUAAUUAUAGGGCCCAAAGCCCUGCUGAGUGUUAUAAUUCAACUAAUUUCUAAAUGAAACUGAAACAUUUGAAGGCAGGAUAUAUGAUUAGCCUGUACUUAUGAACAUAUUUAUAGUUGUUUUAUUUUCUUUAUUUUCUCAUUAUGUUUGGACAGAUCUGUUGAACUCAAUAAUCCAUUAUGAAAUACUGUAGUCUGAUUUAAAAUCAGCUUCACGAGUGAGAAAACUGGUAAUAACCCCCUCUGCAAAGAAGCAAAUGAUUGAACAAAGCUCAGAGACCUCAGCUGGACUAAAUGGCAAACUGUGCACAGUGAUAAGGUUGAGAAUUUGCCAGGCAGGGAUUUGAAAGCAUGGGAAUAUCACCCCUGCUUCAUCCAGGACUCAAGUUGCUCCUGUUGAGGCAAAGCUGCUUCUUUUGUGUAAUGUAUUUGCAGAUUUUUAAAACUGGGAAAGUUUGACUUGCUAUGAAUUAAACUGUGUGCUUUAUUAUAGAUAAUAGACAUCACUGCACUUUUCCUAUUAAUUUCUUUUGAAAAUAAUGCCUUCUUAGUUCUGUGCUACAGACAGUGAAUGGGUUGAAAAAAAAGCGACGAUUGUCUAAGAUUUAUAUGUAAAGUUUUCUAACCCAAAUCUGUUGCUUAGAAUAUUCAUACCCCCCCGCCCCGAUUCUGAAUUAGGCAUUCAAGGCAACAUAAAUUUCCAAAUAAAAGCAAACGGUGUCCCUUCAUCCUCCCCCAAAGCAGCUCUUGGGCAAGCUCUGAGGAAAAAAUGUUAACAAUGUUUAAAGCUGUACUGACCCCAAACUGAAGCUUUCCUGGGUUCACUGCUGCAGACUCUAACUUUUCUGUGGUGUUUUGUAGGAGGUAAUUUCUGUGCUGGUUAUGAUUUGAAAGAGCUGGCCCGCAACCCAACCUCAAUCAAAUUGGAACAACAUGUCACCAAAGGUCCUGGUCCCAUGUUUCACCAGAACUUUCCCCAAAGCCCUGCAGACUUUGAGUAGUCUGGGGCUUAUUUCAUCUCGAAGAACGCCUCCUCUACACAGAACUUCCUACUUAGAUGAGCUUUUCCACUGCAAAUGGGAGGUGAUCACCACUGGAUAUGUGUGGUAUCCCCCAAAACUUGUCAGGAUCAGGCUGGUGUAUAUGUUCUGCCCCCUUGAGAGUCAGAGUUGGACUGAAGACCCUGAAAAGCAGACCAUAUUGAUUUGGAGAUACUCCUCAGUGUGGGCAAAGAAGAUGUUGUGUCCAGCAAGAGCUCCUGAACCAGUUCUUCGGAUGACUUCUUUCUGCAGUCUCAGUGGGGAAUGAAGACUGACUGUAGAGCCAAAUGGAUCAUCCUGCUCCUAAAAAUAGUGACCUGUGCUUUCAGAGUUGCUGUGGCUGGCAGUUGGGUAGUGGAAGGACUCCAGUUUACCAAAGAGGAAUGUAAGCAGGUAUGCAGUGCUGAUGGCCCUGGAGAGCUCUUGCGGUGUUCUUGGUGCACUUUUGAGGAAAUCUCUACAGAAAAGAUACAGACUGCAGAUCACAGAUAUCAGGGGCUACCGGGACAGGUGUCGUGGUGAAGGAGGAGUGGUGGACUACUGGUGGCUUGGCCAAGGACCACGUGGGUGAAGGGAGGUGAGUUAGCAGAUGCUGGGCUCCCACGUACAAAGGAUGGGAACUGCUGGGUCCACUUGUGAAAAGCCAGGGGAAAAUGACAGGUUGCCCAAAGCAGAACCCACAAGGCUUUUGGGUAAGGGCAACAGUAGGAGGAAGUUGUGAGGGCAGUUUUUUAGAGCCAU